rnacentral:rRNA from 1 species
AGUCGAGCGAACAGACGAGGAGCUUGCUCCUUUGAUGUUAGCGGCGGACGGGUGAGUAACACGUAGGUAACCUACCUAUAAGACUGGGAUAACUUCGGGAAACCGGAGCUAAUACCGGAUAAUAUUUCGAACCGCAUGGUUCGAUAGUGAAAGAUGGCUUUGCUAUCACUUAUAGAUGGACCUGCGCCGUAUUAGCUAGUUGGUAAGGUAACGGCUUACCAAGGCAACGAUACGUAGCCGACCUGAGAGGGUGAUCGGCCACACUGGAACUGAGACACGGUCCAGACUCCUACGGGAGGCAGCAGUAGGGAAUCUUCCGCAAUGGGCGAAAGCCUGACGGAGCAACGCCGCGUGAGUGAUGAAGGUCUUCGGAUCGUAAAACUCUGUUAUUAGGGAAGAACAAACGUGUAAGUAACUGUGCACGUCUUGACGGUACCUAAUCAGAAAGCCACGGCUAACUACGUGCCAGCAGCCGCGGUAAUACGUAGGUGGCAAGCGUUAUCCGGAAUUAUUGGGCGUAAAGCGCGCGUAGGCGGUUUUUUAAGUCUGAUGUGAAAGCCCACGGCUCAACCGUGGAGGGUCAUUGGAAACUGGAAAACUUGAGUGCAGAAGAGGAAAGUGGAAUUCCAUGUGUAGCGGUGAAAUGCGCAGAGAUAUGGAGGAACACCAGUGGCGAAGGCGACUUUCUGGUCUGUAACUG